rnacentral:tRNA from 1 species
GCGGGCAUAGCUUAGUUGGUUAAAGCAUCCGGCUCAUAACCGGAGGAUCCCAGGUUCAAGUCCUGGUGCCCGUACCA